GAAGUGAGGCGGUGAACCCGGUGACCCCUGGAGGCCCCGGGCCCGAGACCCGGGGAGCGCAGCCGCGUCAGGAGGCCUCUCCAGCGGGGAGGACGCUCCUCUACAGCCGCUACACGGACACUCAGAGCUCCAGUUACAACCUUUUCCCCCCCGAUCGAUGAAACAAUCAAUCGAUCACGAGCAGCUCGUCCUCAGCAGCUUCGGGUUUUCAGAUCUCUGCUGCAAACUGUUGAAUGUUCAGCCGGCAAAAUGUCUGCACCUGAUAGAUGAGACUGGAGACGAGCAGCGGAGUUCUGAAAGUUCUGGAAUCAUGUUGAAAUCAAAUCCACCGAACGAGAGGAGGGUCGUGAGGAAUGGUGGGAGGCUUCACACAGACCUGGAGAAGAAGAGCAGAGAGACCCGGAGCUGGAGCGCCCUCUGGUGGCAGAUAUAUGAUCCUACAUGGUCGUCCUCCACUGUCACGACCACACUCUAUGUUUUCAUUACAGGUUUCUACUUUUCUCUCUUGAUCUGGAUGUUUUCUUUAAAGGUGUUAUUGUAUUUUACAAGUGCAUUGUGACAAAUUUACUGCAAAAAAAACAUGCAAAGUUACAGCAGCUUCACAGCGAAGAAGAGGAGGAGGAAGAGGAGAUAGAGGAGGAAGAGGGGGAGAGUUAUUACUUACAACAGGUAGCAGCAGACGGCUGUGAGGAUGAGACUGGUGACGAUGACGCUGUGGGAGAGAACAGAGCUGUCAGCUGGAUUCAGUAACACUGUGGAUCAUCUGCACUCGACCGGGUGUUUUCAUUUAUUACAUCUAAUGUUUCACUAAAGUCCUGAAAAGGAAACCAGGACUCUGUCGUGAAGUGUUUCCUGUAAAACUUCUGGUUUCUAGAACGUCAACAUCAUCACAUGAGUGAAUAGUGACCCAGCCACCAUAACUACUUUGUAAUUAUCAUAAUUAGUUUAGUGUCCAUGUCCCACUGGGGAUUUAAAGUAGAAAUGUGACGUGAUGACAAGUUAGAAGUUUUCCAACAGUCAAACACACAAAGCGUUUAUAUCCGUUAAUAAUAAGAUAAACACAAAGCAACUUUCAUAAAGCAGCAGCUUCAUUAAAAAGACUUUGAUGUUU